rnacentral:rRNA from 1 species
CACGUAGGGCGCAAGCGUUGUCCGGAAUUAUUGGGCGUAAAGAGCUCGUAGGCGGUCCGUUGCGUCCGCUGUGAAAACUCGGGGCUUAACCCCGAGCCUGCAGUGGAUACGGGCAGACUAGAGGUAGGUAGGGGAGAAUGGAAUUCCCGGUGUAGCGGUGAAAUGCGCAGAUAUCGGGAGGAACACCGGUGGCGAAGGCGGCACGCUGGACCCCCACUGACGCUGAGGCGCGAAAGCCAGGGGAGCGAACGGG